rnacentral:lncRNA from 1 species
UCCUUAAUAAAUUAUAAAUAAGAGAAAUACUUUAACUACUUUAUAGUUGCACCUCUGAAUCUGAAUCCAACAUCAUGGAUCGAAAUGGCUCUACAGAGCCAAUCUUUAGUGAUGAAUGCUCAAAUAGAGGACAGGGAGGUGUUUCUCAUCAUCCACAGUCUGGAGUUGAUAGCCCAUCUAGCUUCCGAGGGGAUCCGCAAGGCGAUGGAUCUGUACAAUGGAAAUGUUUGGAAGUCAACUGUGAUGCAACCUCCGUUCCACUUUCCUGUCCCAUCACUUCCCUUCCUCCACACUCCAACUUAGGAAACACCGAUAUUCAACUACAACCACCAAACCUCUCCAAUGACGGUGCCUGCUUCUCCGCCGCUCU